rnacentral:rRNA from 1 species
AUUGAACGCUGGCGGCAGGCCUAACACAUGCAAGUCGAGCGAGCGGCGGACGGGUGAGUAAUGUAUGGGGACUGCCCGAUAGAGGGGGAUAACUACUGGAAACGGUAGCUAAUACCGCAUACUAUCGGAUAACCCAUAUGGGAUUAGCUAGUAGGUGAGGUAAUGGCUCACCUAGGCGACGAUCCCUAGCUGGUCUGAGAGGAUGAUCAGCCACACUGGGACUGAGACAGGGCGCAGACUGCUACGGAGGCAGCAGUGGGGAAUAUUGCACAAUGGGCGAAAGCCUGAGGCAGCCAUGCCGCGUGAAUGAAGAAGGCCCUAGGGUUGUAAAGUACUGUCAGUCGGGAGGCGUUACCGAGAGAGGAAGCACCGGCUAACUCCGUGCCAGGAGCCGCGGUAAGUG